GACGAAUUUUGGCGGCGUGCUUAACACAUGCAAGUCGAACGGAAAGGCCCUGCUUUUGUGGGGUGCUCGAGUGGCGAACGGGUGAGUAACACGUGAGUAACCUGCCCUUGGCUUUGGGAUAACUUCAGGAAACUGGGGCUAAUACCGGAUAGGAGCUCCUGCUGCAUGGUGGGGGUUGGAAAGUUUCGGCGGUUGGGGAUGGACUCGCGGCUUAUCAGCUUGUUGGUGGGGUAGUGGCUUACCAAGGCUUUGACGGGUAGCCGGCCUGAAAGGGUGACCGGCCACAUUGGGACUGAGAUACGGCCCAGACUCCUACGGGAGGCAGCAGUGGGGAAUAUUGCACAAUGGGCGGAAGCCUGAUGCAGCAACGCCGCGUGCGGGAUGACGGCCUUCCGGUUGUAAACCGCUUUCGCCUGUGACCAAACGUGAGUGACCGUAAAGGGUUAAAGAAGCACCCGCUUAAUACCUUGCCAACAACCCCGGUGAUAUCUAAGGUGCGAACGUUGUCCGGAUUUAUGGGGCCGUAAAGGGGUCGUAAGUGUGUUGAUCCCCCCCGAAAUGUUAUUCUUGGGGGCUUUAACCCUGAAAGUGCUUUCGAUACGGGUUGACUUGAGGAAGGUAGGGGAGAAUGGAAUUCCUGGUGGAGCGGUGGAAUGCGCAGAUAUCAGGAGGAACACCAGUGGCGAAGGCGGUUCUCUGGGCCUUUCCUGACGCUGAGGAGCGAAAGCGUGGGGAGCGAACAGGCUUAGAUACCCUGGUAGUCCACGCUGUAAACGGUGGGUACUAGGUGUGGGGUCCAUUCCACGGGUUCCGUGCCGUAGCUAACGCUUUAAGUACCCCGCCUGGGGAGUACGGCCGCAAGGCUAAAACUCAAAGGAAUUGACGGGGCCCCGCACAAGCGGCGGAGCAUGCGGAUUAAUUCGAUGCAACGCGUAGAACCUUACCUGGGUUUGACAUGGAUCGGGAGUGCUCAGAGAUGGGUGUGCCUCUUUUGGGGUCGGUUCACAGGUGGUGCAUGCCUGUCGUCAGCUCGUGUCGUGAGAUGUUGGGUUAAGUCCCGCAACGAGCGCAACCCUUGUUCACUGUUGCCAGCACGUUAUGGUGGGGACUCAGUGGAGACCGCCGGGGUCAACUCGGAGGAAGGUGGGGAUGACGUCAAGUCCUCAUGCCCCUUAUGUCCAGGGCUUCACGCAUGCUACAAUGGCUGGUACAGAGAGUGGCGAGCCUGUGAGGGUGAGCGAAUCUCGGAAAGCCGGUCUCAGCUCGGAUUGGGGUCUGCAACUCGACCUCAUGAAGUCGGAGUCGCUAGUAAUCGCAGAUCAGCAACGCUGCGGUGAAUACGUUCCCGGGGCU
rnacentral:rRNA from 1 species